CUUCAGAAAUCUUUAUAGUUUAGGUCUUUUAAACCUAAAAUAAGUAAAACGCUUUACUGCUGGAGA
rnacentral:tRNA from 1 species